UGGUGCAGGCUGGCAGCUGCAGUUCUAAGUUGACCCCUGGCCUGGGAACUUCUGUUGGCCAGAGGUACGGCCCUAAAAAUAUAUUAAAUAAAUAAAUAAAAUAUUUUUUAAAAAGACUAGAGUUUUUCAAAGUGAAAUUCUCGAUUAGCAACAUCAGCGUCACCCAGGGACUUGUUAGAAAUGCCGAGCAUUGUGGCCCAUCCCACAUAGACCUACUGAAUCAGAAAAUCUGGAUGUUCCAACAGGCUUCCACAUCAUUCUGACAUGCACCUACCUUUGAGAAGUACUGGUUCAAAUCCAUCAGCUUCCACCCACCUUGGCCUCUGAUGAGACAUAUGAUCACUGCCAGCGUUUAGUCUUGUGGUACCCAGCUCAUCGAAUGCACAAUUGGAAUGCCCAUCUCUUUCAUGAGCCACCUCCAUGGUUGUUCUGCUUUUUCCUUAGACUUGCCUGGUCUGUGUGCCUGCUCAGAUCUUGGGAUCUUCUCCUAUGCUCCUCUCCAGCCAUUUCUACUCUACAGCUUGGGUUCCAUGCUCAACACAGGGCUUCUCUAAAGGCUUGAGAUCCUCCUUUUCUAUCUGGAAACUAGGCCUUGCAUCUCUUCCCUGGAAUCCCCCAAACACCAGUGGCGUCUCCAUCAUCAUUACUCAUCAGGGAUGGCUCUUGGGAGAGGGCAAGGAGGAAGACUCAGUUCUCAGGCCCCUGAGUCAUCACUUCUUCAGCUUUUUUAUCUCAGUGCUCUUUCUUGCCCACAGUCAGGACAUUGUUUUGGUUUUUUUUAUCUUUGCUUCCUAUGGAAAGAAAAAAAAAGUCCUAGCUAGACACAUAAACUUCUAAACUUACCAUUUUUUUUUUUUUUUGUUCCAGUCUGUGGCAUGUGGAAGUUCCCUGGCCAGGGAUCAAACCUGUGCCACAGCAGUGAUAACACUGUGCCUCAGGAGAACUCUUAAACUUGUCAUUUUUUAUAGGACCCUUGCUCUAUAUACAAAUCAUAAUUUUCUCUAAUAAUAUUCACUCGUUAUCAAAGACCUUGACUUGCAUUUCAAAUGGCCCUUUAAAAGUUUCAAAAUCUGUGUUAUAUGUCAAAACCUUAGCAUUGAUUGGUUCUUUGCAUUUCUUCUAUAAUAAUCCUCAUUUUCCUUUAAACAAUCAAUGAUGCCUUGCACUGAAUAUGGGAAGAUGAAAAAUAAGGAUGUGUAGGAAAGUAAACAUACUAAUUAAAAUGUAAAGACAUAUGCACACCACACCUGAAUUUGAAACACUGUAAUAAUUUCCUAAGAGUACUACCUGGUUCUAGGAUUUCACACUAAAAUCCUUCUGCUACUAAACUACAUAGAAUACUCCUUUUAAUAUGUCAUUUUCUUCCUUGGGUUCUUUCAAUAGGUCCUUUUAAACAUAAUUUUUAGGCAUGUCUGUACUCUAAAAAGCAUAUUUCUAUGCACAUGUACAAUGCUUGAAAAUGAAUGAAUGAAUUCCAAGCCAUCCCUGACCUGGUUUUGACUCUUGUAUUAAACAUGAUUUCUACAAUAUCAUUUAUACUCAGCUUAAUUUACAUCAUAACAAGAUUUGUAUUAAAAAAUGUAGUCUCCCUUUGUGGACUCAGCCUGAUUCUGGAUCCAGCAUCAAUCCUUAUCUUCCGCAAGGAAUGUUUAAGCAACAUCAGACCAAAACUCCAGUCUUAGAAACAAGCCACUAUGGAGUUCCCAUCGUGGCACAGUGGAAAUAAAUCCGACUAGGAACCAUGAGGUUUAUGGUUCGAUUCCUCACCGCACUCGGUAGGUUAAGGAUCCGGUGGUGUUGUGAGCUGUGGCGUAGGUCGCACACAAGGGCUUGGAUCCUGUGUUGCUAUGGCUGUGGUGUAGGCUGGCAGCUAUAGCUCUGAUUCGACCCCUAGCCUGGGAACCUCCAUGUGCCAUAGGUGCGGCCCUAAAAAGCAAAAAAAAUUAAAAAUAAAAUAGAAUGAAUGAAAGAAAGAAAGAAAGAAAGGAAGGAAGGAAGGAAGGAAGGAAGGAAGGAAGAAAGAAAGAAAGGAAAAAAGAAACUAGUCACUCUUAUGGGAGCCCCCCAUCCCUGUUAUAAUAGAGUAUCUGUUUUAUUCUCAAGAAUCAGUUCUGACCAUAGUCUCCAAUAUUUUCCAUCAUUAUUUGUUUGCCUUUCUACUGACAUUCAACAACAACAGCAACACUAAGUUUUCAAUAACAUCGUUUUAAUUCACUGAGAUUUUUCAUUUUAUUGGUCCUAUUAAAAUAUCUCCAUUGACAUUUGCAAAAUCAAAUUUUCCUCCAUUUACUACGAAGCUAUGAUAGGACCCCAAAUGUAUUCCAUUUGUCAGGACAUCACAGGAUUGGAAGCCUGUGCCCUCUUUAAUGAUUUAUUCCAACAUUUUGGAUUCAAUAAGAUAGUCAUAUCUAAAUUUAGAGUAAGUAAUCUUAAUUAUACACUUGUAUAAUGUAAUCUUUGGCUAAAAGGCUUUUUUCCCCAUUAAAUGUGAUAUAUAAAGGUUACAAUGGCAGCUCCUAUUACACAUUUCUAGUCUUCUGUAUUUCACAUUUCACAGCUCUGUGAAAUUCUGUAAAAUAGUAAGGGAGGGGGUGGGCAGGAACUAUAAUAGUUCUUUAAAAAUUCCUCACAGGAAACACAGUCAGUUUCUUCAAUUUCGGGCACUCUGUUUGAUGACAAAAUGAUUUCCAACUGUUGUCCCAGGUAUUACAGAGUAUUUUAUUGUAACGAUGUGUCCUCUUCUGUUCUAUAUCAGCACCUCUCAAUGCACUUCUGUCAGGAGAUUGGGGCAAUACAGUGGUGCUUCGUGAUUACUUUGUGGUUCUCUGUGACGCCUUUGAAACCCUCUUUUUCUCCCUCGCUCUCCCUCCUGGCAGCCUUUCAGGUUGGAGAAAGAUCCACUUGUUCAAAAUUACCCAUAUAGCCAUGCGUCGAAUUAGUUAUAGAGAAAGGAUCUCUGUUAAAAUCGAAGGUCUCCAUGAUCGUCACAUUCUGGUCUCCCAGGAGCUGCAUGAAAAACUAAAAACAUAGAUUCGCUAAUACUCUCAUAAAUAUGAUUUACAGAAUGCACAGUCAAAUGUGUUUAUCUAAUAUAUUUCUAUUCUGGUCACACUUAUCCUUAACAAGUUGCUUUUAAAAAUCUGAAAUAGAUAUAAUAUGGUAUCUAAAAAAAUUCUUAACAACUCAGAUUUUAUGUCAUGGAAUACUAUUUUGAGUGUACAUAUUUUUUUAGAGUACCUGUAUUCAGUGGAUUUUUAAAAGAAUCAGCCUUUUUAAAAAGCUAUGUAAAACACUACACCUACAGAGAACCUAAUCUGAGUCCGUUUUUAACCUAUGAUGAUUUUUUACAGCCAAAUAAUAGGGCUUUGAAUAACACAACUGCUUUAAUUAAUUUAGUUGUCAAUGGAGGCACUUUUUCCAGGGCAUCCCUUCAUAGUUUGAAAUAUUCCUAAAUACACUAGUCUAUUGCCAUUACUAUAGCACUUUAGAAAAGAAUGCCUAGCUGCACCUGAAUCUUUUUUUAAUAUUCAAUUUAGGAAACAAUUAAAAUCAUGUAUCAGAUGUAUUAUAAGAAUGUAGGGUCAUGCAACUAAUAUUAUGACAAGAACUUUUGGAGAAGUUGGUGCUUUUUAUUUGCAAAAUCAGAACCACAAUUACAACUUUUCUUAUGCCAACCAAACCCAAUUCAUUGUCUAGCUUAAACUGAUGCUUGAGCUGAGAAGCCUUCUCAACCAAAGGCCUUUACAUUUAUUUAGGAUUUCAGUUUCAAGGAAAAAAAAAUUACUAAAGCAAAAUAAUUUACUUAAAUUUAAGAGUAGCAAUCAACACAUUCAGGAAAUUCACCAGCUGUAGAAAAACUCUUAAUGAUGUUAAUUGUAAAUUAUAUACAGAUUUAUGUAACAAAGGAUAGAUUAUAGUUGAUUUUUUAAAAUUUCUCUAUAAUGUGAACAAACAUAUAGCCCCCCCCUUUUUUUUUGUCUUUUUAGGACUGCACCUAUUGCUUAUGGAAGCUCCCAAGCUAGGGGCUGAAUCGGAGCUGCAGCUGCUGGCCACAGCCACACAGGAUCUGAGCCUCCUCAGAGAACCUACAUCACACCCCAUGGCAACACCAGAUCCAUAAUCCACUGAGCGAAGCCAGGGAUCGAAUUUCAUCCUUCUGGAUACUAGUUGGGUUCAUUAUUCACUGAGUCACAAUGGGAACUCCCCUCCAUCUUAAAGAUAGUUAUUUUCUUUAGGUAAUUGGCUUUAAAAAAUAAAUCAAAAUGAGAUAUUUAUGACAAUAAACUGAAAUAUAAAAGCACUAAAGGAUACUUUCAAGAGAUUAUGGUAUUUUAUAUUACAAUGAUUUGCAUCUUCAGUGAAAUCAAAAAAGACAUGAGGCCUUGCUGAGAUAAAGCCUUCUUCAAACUCUGCUGGUGAGAAAGAGCUGCACUGUUUUUAGCCCAUGAUGCUCAGGAAUGGAGCUGAAACAGCUUAGGAAAGGAAGAGGAAGGACGGUGUUAAGAGGUUCCCAAGGGUUCAUGCUGCCAGCGCUGGCCCUUCCUGGUGAAGGUGUCCUUGGCCACACCCCAGGACGUGUGGGACAGGGUUCCCAGGGAGGCUGCAGCAGAAACCCGGUAACAGGCCAGCAUCCAAAAAAGGAAGAGAAAAUGGUGCUAAUAUGGCAAUCACACAAGCUUCUAAUUGGGAUAUUAGCAAACACUUCAAGCUUCAAAAAUGAGUCUGUGCCAACCAGCUAAAAGAGCAGUUCUGUGGAGUGAAUGUAAGAACAUCUCUUUUCACCCCCAAAUGUUUAGCGUCUUGUGAAAAAUCUGUUAAUCAAAGGUCUAGUAUUAUUUUUAAAUCAGAAAAGAGAAUGAAGUUUGGGUGCAGUAUGUUUCUGAGAGAGAGAAAAGACUCUGGCUAAAAGAUUUGACCCCCAAACUUUCCCUUUUCCUGGGAUGCAUAUGGAGAGCAUGCAAAACCGUGUUGGAAAUGAUGAGCCUGGUGAUAAUUUUUCUGUCUUUAUAAUCUUAAAACAUGCAUCAAAUCUUUUCUGAUCAGACUAGAGUUAAGAGUGUAUUAUUAUUUUCUAGCCUAAAUUUAAGGGUCACUGAUCCCCAUUUAAUCUGUAAAGGACAUGUUUAUCACCACAGGCCUUCUUUACUACAAAGAAAUUUUAUGAAAAAAGACUGCAUGGGGAGAUUAAUAUUAUUCCCUAAAGACCCCUGAUGGUUUUGCUAUACUGAUUUCUACCGUUUUAUGAAGUGUAUGUCCUCCAGGCAACUUAGCUAUGCAGCUGAUUUUCCCAGAUGCUAGAUUGCAAACUGGCACCCUCUGUGGUGAAUUUUAACUGAUUCACAAAAUGUUUAUUUCUGAAAGGGGCUUGGAGCUUGUGGCUCCCCUGCCAGUACCCAAGAUGUCCUGGUGGUCAAGCAAUAAGAUCCAGCCCACAGUCACCCAGGGCUCUGGUCUUUCUCCCAUAGGGUACCACUCCCUCCCCCGGGCCAACCAUCCUCCUCUUGUCUCUGAGAUUUCCACUCCUUUCAUUCAUCACAGAUGGUCUAGUAUCUGUGCUUUGAGCUUAUCCAACACUGAUUACAGGCUUACACUGAGCUGGACACUGCCCAACACACCAAGGCAAAUAAGAAAUCAGUCCCAGCCUUGAAGAGCUUAUGGUAAACUGGGGCUGGUUCAAUACAAACAAACAAAGCAGAGCCAUCCACAGAAAGGACCAUACAGCACCAGGUCUUAUAUUGCCACCUAGGGAUUCAAUCAGAGAUUCCUGGAGGGGAGUGACCUGGAACUAGCCUUGAAAGAUGAUGGCAACUUGGUCACUUAAGAAAAAGAAGGGUCAUUUCACUCAGUAUGAGAUUCUCUAGUUCCAUCCAUGUUGCUGCAAAUGGAAAGACAAAGGCAAAUACCAUAUGAUACCACUUAUAACUGGAAUCUAAUAUCCAGCACAAAUGAACAUCUCCUCAGAAAAGAAAAUCAUGGACUUGGAGAAGAGACUUGUGGUUGCCUGAUGGGAGGGGGAGGGAGUGGGAGGGAUCGGGAGCUUGGGCUUAUCAGACACAACCUAGAAUAGAUUUACAAGGAGAUCCUGCUGAAUAGCAUGUCUAGAUACUCAUGUUGCAACAGAAGAAAGGGUGGGGGAAAAACUGUAAUUGCAAUGUAUACAUGUAAGGAUAACCUGACCCCCUUGCUGUACAGUGGGAAAAUAAAAAAGAAAAA
rnacentral:lncRNA from 1 species